UGACAUAACGUAACUUUCUUGAGGCUCGCAUGGAUCAUUCCCAACCAUACUGACAUGGAUAUCAAACGAACGGGAAUUGAAGAAGCUAUGCGAUGGUGCACACAUAACGAACGUCAAACCAGGUGGGAAAAAGGUGUCACGUGACCUCACGUAUAAUUCGCUUGUCCAUGCGUGAUUCCCAACCAUAUUGACAUGGAUAUCAAACGAACGGGCUUCGAAAAAGCUCUGCGAUGGUACACACGUAACGAACGUCAAACCAGGUGGGAAAAAGGUGUCACGUGACCUGACGUAACUUUAUUCAGGCUCUCAUGGGUCAUCUCCAACCAUACUGACAUGGAUAUCAAACGAACGGGCUUCGAAAAAGCUCUGCGAUGGUACACACGUAACGAACGUCAAACCAGGUGGAAAAAUGGUGUCACGUGACCUGACGUAACUUUAUUCAGGCUCUCAUGGGUCAUCUCCAACCAUACUGACAUGGAUAUCAAACGAACGGGAAUUGAAGAAGCUAUGCGAUGGUACACACGUAACGAACGUCAAACCAGGCGGGAAAAGGGUGUCACGUGACCUCACGUAUAAUUCGCUGCUCCAUGCGUGAUUCCCAACCACAUUGACAUGGAUAUCAAACGAACGGGCUUCGAAGAAGCUUUGCGAUGGUACACACGUAACGAACGUCAAACCAGUGUGAAAAGGGGAUCAUGUGA